rnacentral:piRNA from 1 species
UGAUCUUGAUUGUUCUGGAUGUCCUAAAA